CUUUUGAAGCAAUACUCAGUAAGUCGGCGGGUGGAUCACAAAUCCUGAAAUACUAUGCGCAAAAAAAGUGUCUCACUCCAAAGUAUAGGAAACUUCUAGCUGCAACAGUUGCAAAUUAUUUUAUUUCUGCUGAAGUACAUCCAAACCCUAAAACAUUUGAAGCUUUCGCCAAUAAAAUUGUGGAUUUAUUUACGAGUGAAUCUAAAGAUAUAUAUUACAUUCAUAAGAAAGGAAAAAAGCCAGGUGGAUCUCUGUAUGCUAAGUACCACAGUGUAUUAUUGAAACUUAGACGGGAUGGUCUUAUUUCCAAAAGAGAUGUAGAACCAACAACAAAAGGAACGGAGAUUAAUUCUUGCGUAACAGAUUGCAUUCAAGAAAAAUCAUGGUUAAAGUAUAACGUUGAAC